AUUGAACGCUGGCGGCAUGCUUUACACAUGCAAGUCGAACGAUCACAGCGCUUCGGGUGCUGACGAGUGGCGUACGGGUGAGUAAUGCAUCGGAACGUACCCAGUGGUGGGGGAUAACGCAGCGAAAGCUGUGCUAAUACCGCCUGUGAUCUGAGGAUGAAAGCGGGGGACCGCGCAGCAAUGUUUGGCCUCGCGCCUUUGGAGCGGCCGAUGUCGGAUUAGCUAGUGGGUGGGGUAAAGGCCUACCAAGGCGACGAUCCGUAGCUGGUCUGAGAGGACGACCAGCCACACUGGGACUGAGACACGGCCCAGACUCCUACGGGAGGCAGCAGUGGGGAAUUUUGGACAAUGGGCGCAAGCCUGAUCCAGCAAUGCCGCGUGCGGGAAGAAGGCCUUCGGGUUGUAAACCGCUUUUGGCAGGAACGAAACGGUGUCCGCUAAUACCGGGCGCUAAUGACGGUACCUGCAGAAUAAGCACCGACUAACUACGUG
rnacentral:rRNA from 1 species